GAUGAAGAACGUAGCGAAAUGCGAUAAGUAAUGUGAAUUGCAGAAUUCAGUGAAUCAUCGAAUCUUUGAACGCACAUUGCGCCCUCUGUAUUCCGGGGGGCAUGCCUGUUCGAGCGUCAUUACAACCCUCAAGCUUUGCUUGGUAUUGGACAUUGCCAGUUUCUGGCAGGUCUUAAAAUCAGUGGCGGUGCCAUUUGGCUUCAAGCGUAGUAAUUCUUCUCGCUUUGGAGAUCCAGGUGGUUACUUGCCAAUAACCCCCAAUUUUUUCAGGUUGACCUCGGAUCAGGUAGGGAUACCCGCUGAACUUAAGCAUAUCAAUAAGCGGAGGA
rnacentral:misc_RNA from 1 species